UACGUAGGGAGCAAGCGUUGUUCGGAUUUACUGGGCGUAAAGGGCGCGUAGGCGGCAAUUCAAGUCACUUGUGAAAUCUCCGGGCUUAACUCGGAACGGUCAAGUGAUACUGCUUUGCUAGAGUGCGGAAGGGGCAAUCGGAAUUCUCGGUGUAGCGGUGAAAUGCGUAGAUAUCGAGAGGAACACCUGAGGUGAAGACGGGUUGCUGGGCCGACACGUGACGCUGACAGCGCGAAAGCCAGGGGAGCAAACGGG
rnacentral:rRNA from 1 species